ACACGCAUGACACACUGCAUAUCAAUAAGCGGAGGAAAAGAAACUAACAAGGAUUCCCUUAGUAACGGCGAGUGAGGCGGGAAGAGCUCAAAUUUGAAAUCUUCAAGGUUCUACCUUGACGAAUUGUAGUUUAUAGAAGUGUUUUCUGUUAGUAGAGUGGCAAAAGUUCUUUGGAAUAGGACAUCAUAGAGGGUGAGAAUCCCGUAUUUGGUCAUUCUUUCUAGCUUUGUGAUACACUUUCAACGAGUCGGAUUGUUUGGGAAUGCAGUCCAAAAUGGGUGGUAAAUUUCAUCUAAAGCUAAAUAUUGGCGAGAGACCGAUAGCGAACAAGUACCGUGAGGAAAGAUGAAAAGAACUUUGAAAAGAGAGUUAAACAGUACGUGAAAUUGUCAAAAGGGAAGCGUUUGACACCAGUGUUGUUUUUCCGAAAAUCAAUUACGAAUGUUUUGUUUUUAAGAAGUUAUGACUUCAUCGGCUUGCUUCUUUCUUUACGAAACUUUCUUAAUGCACUUUUCGGUUAACAAGUCAACAUCAAUUUCUUUUGUUGUAAAAGAGUAUUGGGAAGGUGGCUUUCUUUUCGGAGAAAGUGUUUAUAGCCCUUUACUUCUGCAAUCGGAGAGAUUGAGGUCUGCAGCGUAGAUCCUUCGGGGUUAGAUACAUUUGUGCUAAGUUAUAGCUUUUCAUAGACAACUUGUUGAUUAUGAUUAGUCUUGUAGCUUACUCGCUUAUGCUAUUUUACCUACGCUUAGGAUGUUGACGCAUGAGAUAUACGC
rnacentral:rRNA from 1 species